rnacentral:rRNA from 1 species
GACGGAGGAUGCAAGUGUUAUCCGGAAUCACUGGGCGUAAAGCGUCUGUAGGUGGUUUCAAAAGUCCACUGUUAAAGAUUGAAGCUUAACUUCAAAAAUGCCGUGGAAACUUUGAAACUUGAGUAUGAUAGGGGUAGAGGGAAUUUCCAGUGGAGCGGUGAAAUGCGUAGAUAUUGGAAAGACCACCAAUGGCGAAGGCACUCUACUGGGCCAUUACUGACACUGAGAGACGAAAGCGUAGGUAGCGAAUGGG